rnacentral:lncRNA from 1 species
GCAUUGUUAAUUAAACUAAAAAAAAAAAAAAAGAGACACACGUAUGGAGAGAUACGAGGUUUGCCUGAUGAUCAGAUGAUGAUUCUUAUUCGACCUAAUUUAUUAAUUCUUCUUUGUAUGAAAAAAAAAAGAAAAGAAAAAGGAUUUUUUUUUUGUCUUCUAAAAACAUUGAAAGGAUUUUUUUUGGUCUUCUAACAACAUUGAGUACUUGCCUUUGGUUGAAU